CCUACGGGGGGCUGCAGUGGGGAAUUUUGGACAAUGGGGGCAACCCUGAUCCAGCCAUGCCGCGUGCGGGAAGAAGGCCUUCGGGUUGUAAACCGCUUUUGUCAGGAGAGAAAUCUCUUGGGCUAAUACCCUGAGAGGAUGACGGUACCUGAAGAAUAAGCACCGGCUAACUACGUGCCAGCAGCCGCGGUAAUACGUAGGGUGCAAGCGUUAAUCGGAAUUACUGGAGGCAAAUCUGGCGCAGGGGUGUGAAAUCCCCGGGCGUAACCUGGGAACUGCACUUGUGACUGCACGGCUAGAGUACGGCAGAGGGGGAUGGAAUUCCGCGUGUAGCAGUGAAAUGCGUAGAUAUGCGGAGGAACACCGAUGGCGAAGGCAGUCCCCUGGGCCUGUACUGACGCUCAUGCACGAAAGCGUGGGGAGCAAACAGGAUUAGAUACCCGAGUAGUC
rnacentral:rRNA from 1 species